UACGUAGGGUGCAAGCGUUGUCCGGAAUUAUUGGGCGUAAAGAGCUCGUAGGCGGUCAGUCGCGUCCGCUGUGAAAUCCCGGGCUCAACCCGGCCUGCAGUGGAUACGGGCUGGCUAGAGGCAGGCAGGGGAGAACGGAAUUCCUGGUGUAGCGGUGAAAUGCGCAGAUAUCAGGAGGAACACCGGUGGCGAAGGCGGUCUCUGGGCCUGUACUGACGCUGAGGAGCGAAAGCGUGGGGAGCAAACAGG
rnacentral:rRNA from 1 species